GAUCCUGGCUCAGGAUGAACGCUAGCUACAGGCUUAACACAUGCAAGUCGAGGGGGCGAGCAUGAACUUAGCUUGCUAAGUUUGAUGGCGACCGGCGCACGGGUGAGUAACACGUAUCCAACCUGCCGAUGACUCGGGGAUAGCCUUUCGAAAGAAAGAUUAAUACCCGAUGGCAUAGUUCUUCCGCAUGGUCGAACUAUUAAAGAAUUUCGGUCAUCGAUGGGGAUGGCGUUCCAUUAGGUUG
rnacentral:rRNA from 1 species